rnacentral:piRNA from 1 species
UAGAAAGCAGGUGCAAGGGAAUGGACAU